rnacentral:rRNA from 1 species
AUCAACGCUGGCGGCGUGCCUAACACAUGCAAGUCGUACGAGAAAGUGGAGCAAUCCAUGAGUAAAGUGGCGACCGGGUGAGUAACACGUGACUACCUACCUUCUAGUGGGGGAUAACUCCGGGAAACCGGAGCUAAUACCGCAUAACAUCGCAAGAUCAAAGCAGCAAUGCGCUGGAAGAGGGGGUCGCGCCUGAUUAGCUAGUUGGUAAGGUAACGGCUUACCAAGGCGAAGAUCAGUAGCCGGCCUGAGAGGGCGCACAGCCACACUGGAACUGAAACACGGUCCAGACUCCUACGGGAGGCAGCAGUGGGGAAUUUUGCGCAAUGGGGGAAACCCUGACGCAGCAACGCCGCGUGGAGGAUGAAGUCCUUUGGGACGUAAACUCCUUUCGACCAAGACGAUGAUGACGGUACUGGUGGAAGAAGCACCGGCUAACUCUGUGCCAGCAGCCGCGGUAAUACAGAGGGUGCGAGCGUUGUUCGGAAUUAUUGGGCGUAAAGGGCGCGUAGGCGGCGCCACAAGUCACCUGUGAAAUCUCCCGGCUCAACUGGGAGCUUGCAGGCGAAACUGUGGUGCUGGAGUAUGGGAGAGGUGCGUGGAAUUCCCGGUGUAGCGGUGAAAUGCGUAGAUACUGGGAGGAACACCUGUGGCGAAAGCGGCGCACUGGACCAUAACUGACGCUGAGGCGCGAAAGCUAGGGGAGCAAACAGGAUUAGAUACCCUGGUAGUCCUAGCCCUAAACUAUGGAUGCUUGGUGUAGCAGGUACCCAAUCCUGCCGUGCCGAAGCUAACGCGAUAAGCAUCCCGCCUGGGGAGUACGGUCGCAAGACUGAAACUCAAAGGAAUUGACGGGGGCCCGCACAAGCGGUGGAGCAUGUGGUUCAAUUCGACGCAACGCGAAGAACCUUACCUGGGCUCGAAAUGUAGGAGACUGGGGUAGAAAUAUCCCUUUCCGCAAGGACCCCUAUAUAGGUGCUGCAUGGCUGUCGUCAGCUCGUGUCGUGAGAUGUUGGGUUAAGUCCCGCAACGAGCGCAACCCUUAUCUCUAGUUGCAUCGGGUCAAGCCGGGCACUCUAGCGAAACCGCGUAGGAUAACUACGAGGAAGGUGGGGAUGACGUCAAGUCCUCAUGGCCUUUAUGUCCAGGGCUACACACGUGCCACAAUGGUCGGUACAAAACGUCGCAAACCCGCGAGGGGGAGCUAAUCGGAAAAAGCCGGCCUCAGUUCGGAUUGGAGUCUGCAAUUCGACUCCAUGAAGCUGGAAUCGCUAGUAAUCGCAGAUCAGAACGCUGCGGUGAAUACGUUCCCGGGCCUUGUACACACCGCCCGUCACAUCACGAAAGUGGACUGCACUAGAAGUCGGCGUGCUAACCGCAAGGAGGCAGCCGCCCAAGGUAUGGUUCAUGAUUGGGGUG